UCCUGAGGAAACCCUGGAGUGAAUGAAUAUUUGAAGAAAAAAAAAAUUUAGCUUUCUCUUGACUAGAUCCUUUCAUACUUGGACAUAUAUUCUAAGUAUUAAAUUACGACAGCAAAGGAUGUUUAAAGAAGAUUCCAAACUUCAUCAUUAAGGAAAGCCACUGCUGCUCCCUUGAGGAAAAGGCAAUGACUAUCUGGAGGAUCCAGCUUGGAUAAAAUGCACAAAGAAUGCUCAGUUACUGUUUUCUUCUGUUGUUACCCAAUGGCCUCCAACACCAAGAAGGGUGAUGAUAUCAUGUUUAUGUGGUAGUAGUUGUAAUUUUUCAGCUGGUUCGUCAUCUUUACUAUAUAACCUCACUUACAGAGGAAUUGUUUAAAAAGAAAGAGAGGGAGAGAACAUAUAUUUUAUAGUAAUCUGAUAAAAAUUUAUUCUUCAAACUAGUUCUCUUUACUUUUAAUGUAACAAGGAAGCAUUUUUCUUAGAACAAGGUAACAUAUGUAUUCAGACACCUUAAAAUACACUUUUGCAUUAAAACUGUUCAUAAAAUUUACUUUAGAUUUAAUUAUAAAUGAGAUAACUAAAGAUAAAAUGACCCUUUUAAUUUGGAAAUCAGACAAGAUAACAACACACACAGCUAAGUCUGACUGUUUUAAUCAUACCAUUGAUAGCUUAAUACUUCGGGAAAAGUUGACUUCUGAGUAAGGAAUUCAUAGAUUCAAGAAUGUCCUGCUUUGACAUAAUUAUUGAAAUGUCCAUUUGAAAAGUUAAUGAACUAUACAUUCACUUCCACUGAAAGAUUUUUCUGAGUUAAUUUCAAAUCUUGAAAAUACUGGCUAAAAGAAACAGCUAUGGCCAUAGCACCAUUUGUUAUGAUCUUAGAAGAUAAAUUCUAACAAAACAUGAAUAGAAUCCCUUGGCAGGCUUGUGAAUCCUAUUCUUAAAGUGCAGUGGCACUACCUAAGUGUGUAGAGAUUAGGUGUUAAAUAGCUAUUGGUUAAGCUACAAAAGUUCAAGGAAGGUAAAAUGCAAAAAAAAUCUGUGCAUUUUCCAAAAAGGGACUGCAGAAGCUCACCAUCCCUCAGAGGGCAGCCAUACAUAGCAGAAACAAGUGACUGGCUGAGACCUGAACGAAUCCAAGAACCUCUGAACCCGUGAAGAAUUCACCUGCCAAUGCAGGAGACGCAGGUUCAAUCCCUGGGUCAGGAAGAGCCCUCUGGGAGAUAGCAGUGCACUCCAGUAUUUUUGCCUGGAAGAUACCAUGGACAGAGGAGCGUGGCGGGCUGCUGCUCACCAGGAGUUGGACGUGACUGAGUGAGUGAGCACAGCCAGCACAAGUACAACCAGGGAGGCCCCGGACCUCUUGUAGAUCCUUAAACCCCCGUGCCUGGGCCUCACAGGGCGUCCCAGGCGGCACCAUCGGUAGAGAAGUGAAAGUGAACAUCGCGCAGUCUCUCUGAGGCCCCAUGGAAUUCUCCAGGCCAGCAUGCUGGAGUGGGUAACCGUUCCCCUCUCCAGAGGAUCUUCCCAACCCAGGGACUGAACCCAAAUCUCCCGCAUUGCAGGUGGAUUCUUCACCGACUGAACCACCAGGGAAGCCCCCAGGGGUAAAGAACUGGCCUGCUAAUGCAGGAGACGUGAGACAAGGGUUCAGUCCCCGAGUUGGGAAGAUCCCCUGGAGGAGGGCAUAGGAAAUCACUCCAGUAUUCCUGCCUGGACAGAGGAGGUUGGUGGGCCAUAGCCCAUAGGGUUGCAGAGUCGGACAUAACUGAAGCCACUAAGCAAGCAUGCAUACCUUUUUAAAAGGUAAGCAUGUUCUCUCUUCCGGCAGUGCUUAAAAUGGGAAUAAAAUGAAGCUCCAAUUCAAAACAUUAAGUUAAAAAAAAAAAAAACUCUCCAGAGAAGGCAAUGGCACCCCACUCCAGUACUCU